AGGGUCUCACUCUGUCAUCCUGACUGGAGUGCAGUGGCGUGAUCUCGGUUCACCGCAACCUCUGCCUCCCAGGCUCAAGCAAUUCUCCUGCCUCAGCCUCCCGAGUAGCUGGGAUUACAGCUUAACAGAAAUACUUGUGGAUCCAAAUCCAUGGUAGGAGGUCUGAUUAAGAGGAUUUGCAGAGAGGCUUUUGAGAAGUUGGAUGCUCACUGCUGGUUAGAAACUACUGCUCUGGAAUGA
rnacentral:lncRNA from 10 species